GAAAUAUGACGUCAUACAAGCUGCCGCUUUUUUAGUGUAACCGGGAGUUUUAACUUGUAGGGCACUAGGACCCAGAAAACGCCUCUGCACCAAUGACGUAAUGCGCAGCCCCCCUUCCUGAAAUCGCCGCCCAUUCGUGUGUCCGGCUGCCAGUCAAACGUUCUUUGAUGAGUUCCCGCGGAAAUGCGGCCGUGUGUUGAUCAGCAGCUGCUAAACGUGAACUGUCAUCAACUGUCAGCAGCAUUCCAGCGCUGAUCCUGUUCAUCUUCUGGAGCAUUUUAAAGAGGAUUUUUCUCAGGAUCGGUUCUGCUGUCGUAAACCCGAACCCUCCGGACAGGAUGUCAUGUAGAACACUGGACUGAAUAAGCUCGUGUGAUGAUGAAGCUCCAGCUGUGUGGAGCAGUGAUGGAGGAGUCUCGUUACAGACUUUACAGGAAGAGCAGCUACAGGUGGAGCGGGACAGAGCAGAGGUUCCCAAACUGCUGACGGGAAGAAGGGAAAGACAUAACCUGAUGCUGAGACCAUUCAGACAUUUGCAGUUACACUCUAAAGGCCUUUUGACCGAUUGCUCUGAUAUGAGGCUUCACUGUUGGAGGUGGGAGGGUUUGGGAACCGCUGUUCUGAGACAGAGCCCCCGACUGGGCCAGGUUUCAGCGAGUCUAACAGAGUGGGCAGCACAGAGGUCAAAAAAGAACACCACAAACAGUGAACAUUUAGGUACGAAGUGAGGCUCCUUCAGACCAGGAGACAGAAAGGUCAGCUUCAUUUAGCCAUGAUUCAGUCCAGAACGCUUCGUCACACAUCCAGAGAAAAACCCAGAAACACUUUACUUUCUUUGUGUUGUUGAAAACAGGAUGGAGACACAAAAACAGAAAACUCUUAAUGGAGAAUCCAGAGAUGUUUUUCUAAAUCCCACAGAAUGAAUUAAUAAACAUCAAGAACCAUUUCAGUGAGAGCUUCUCCAA